rnacentral:rRNA from 1 species
CUCGUAGGCGGUUCGGUAAGUCGGGUGUGAAAAUCCAGGGCUCAACCCUGGGACGCCACCCGAUACUGCUGUGACUAGAGUCCGGUAGAGGAGCGUGGAAUUCCUGGUGUAGCGGUGAAAUGCGCAGAUAUCAGGAGGAACACCAGCGGCGAAGGCGGCGCUCUGGGCCGGUACUGACGCUGAGGAGCGAAAGCGUGGGGAGCAAACAGGAUUAGAUACCCUGGUAGUCC